rnacentral:pre_miRNA from 1 species
UAUAUACUUUCCCCUCCAACAAAAGAUGUCUCAAAUUUAUCAAAUUUCGGAUGUAUGAAGAUAUAACUUAGUGUAUAGAUGCAUUCAAAUUUGAUUAAAAUUGAGACAUCCUCUGUUGGACGGAGGGAGUGUCUA